AAAGGUAAAUAAGGGCACUAAUAGUGGAUGCCUUGACAAUCAAUACCGACGAAGGACGUAGAACUCUGCGAUAAGUCUUGGGGAGCUGAGAGCAAGCUUUGAUCCAGGAAUCUCCGAAUGGGGCAACCUAAUACGAGUCAUGUCGUAUUGCAAUUACUUGAACACAUAGAGUAAUCAGACGGGAACCAGCCGAACUGAAUCAUCUUAGUAGGUUGAGGAAAAGAGAAUAAACAAUGAUUCCGAAAGUAGUGGCGAGCGAAAUUGGAACAGCCCAAACCUUAACAUAACCAUACGGUUUAACGGCCAGAGUUAUGAAAGGGGUUGUGAAAUAAGAUAAUUUUUAUGCUGAGUUAUUGGAAGAAAUUGCCAAUAUUCAGCAUAAAAACCAACAUCGUUAAGUGAAUGGAUAAUGAUAAAAUCCUUUAGAUCAUAGCAGAAGUGUUUGAAUGGCACACCAAAGAAGGUGAGAGUCCUGUACGCGAAAUGGUCUUAGGCAUUAUAUAUCUUUUUUCAAGUAGGACGGGGCACGAGAAACCCUGUUUGAAUCCGGCAGGACCACCUGCCAAGGCUAAAUAUAUUGAUUGAUCGAUAGCGAACUAGUACAGUGAUGGAAAGGUGAAAAGAACCCCGGGAGGGGAGUGAAAUAGAUCCUGAAAUUUAGUGCCUACAAGGAGUCGGAGCCGGCUUGUCCGGUGACGGCGUGCUUUUUGUAGAACGAUCCAGCGAGUUAAUUUCGUGCGCAAGGUUAAGCCAGUUGGCGGAGCCACAGUGAAAGCGAGCCUGAAUAGGGCGAUUAAGUGUACGGGAUUAGACCCGAAACCGGGUGACCUAACCAUGAGCAGGUUGAAGCCACUGUAACAGGUGGUGGAGGACCGAACCAGGAUACGCAGCAAAGUGUUUGGAUGACUUGUGGUUAGCGGUGAAAUGCCAAUCGAACUCGGAGAUAGCUGGUUCUCCUCGAAACAGUUUUAGGACUGGCGUCAUGUGGUAGCAGUCGGGGGUAGAGCUCUGUAAAGGACUGGGGGGAGCAAUCCUACCCACCCUUAACAAACUACGAAUACCGGCUGUGGAAUCAUGGCAGUUAGAACGGCGGAGCUAAGUUCGUCGCUCAAAAGGGAAACAGCCCAGACCAUCGUCUAAGGUCCCUAAAUUUACGUUAAGUGGGAAACAAGGUGAGAUUUCUUAAACAGCUAGGAUGUUGGCUUAGAAGCAGCCAUUCAUUUAAAGAGUGCGUAACAGCUCACUAGUCAAGAGAUCUUGCGUGGAAAAUGUAACGGGGCUAAACGUAAUACCGAAGACAUGGGUCUAUGCAUUAGCAUGGGCGGUAGAGGAGCGUUCCUAUCGGCAGUGAAGCAGUAUUGUAAAGUGCUGUGGAGCGGUAGGAAGUGAGAAUGCUGGAAUGAGUAACCAUAAGAGAGGUGAGAAUCCUCUCGGCCGUAAGAGCAAGGUUUCCUGAGCUAUGGUAAUCAUCUCAGGGUUAGUCGGGCCUAAGCCGAGGCGCAUAGCGUAGGCGAUGGACAUCAGGUUGAUAUUCCUGAACCGGCGUAGUUUGUACACUGUUCACGGAGAGAUAUUCAGAGCGGAUUCAUGGUUUAUCCGUCCAACCGAGCGGGAACGCAAAGGGAGUGAAAGUUACUCUGCGGAGUGAUGAUUCUGGAAAAGGCUCUGGCUAGAAAAGCAGGUGUACGCGUGGCUAUGUCCGCCCGUACCGCAAACCAACACAGGUGCUCGAGUCGAGUAGACUCAGGCUUACGAGUGAACCUUCGCUAAGGAACUCGGCAAUACAGCGACCGUAACUUCGGGAUAAGGUCUGCCCCCACUUCGGUGGAUAUCAGCCGCGUUCACUCAGUGAAUAAUAGGUUAAAGAGUACAUUUUUAAUCACAAAACGAAUUUUCUGAGACACGAGCAAACAAAUUGCUCUUUGAACGCGAACCUCUUGUAUCUAACGAUGUGGGGGCCGCAGCAAAAGAGCCCACGGAACUGUUUAUCAAAAACACAGGUCUCUGCUAACACGAAAGUGGAUGUAUAGGGGCUGACUCCUGCCCGGUGCCGGAAGGUUAAGGGGAGUGCUUCACGGUGCAAACUGAAGCCCCGGUGAACGGCGGCGGUAACUAUAACCGUCCUAAGGUAGCGAAAUUCCUUGUCAGGUAAGUUCUGACCCGCACGAAUGGAGUAAUCAUGUGGGCACUGUCUCAGCGAAGGACUCGGUGAAAGUGCAUUGGCGGUAAAGAUGCCGUCUGUCCAUACCAGGACGAGAAGACCCCAUGGAGCUUUACUACAGCUUUACAUUGAAUACGGUUUCAACAUGUGUAGCAUAGGUGGGAGAUAUUGAAGCAGAUACGCCAGUAUUUGUGGAGUCACCAAGUGAAAUACCACCCUUGUUGUGAUUGUGUUCUCACGCUGACCGUUAUCCGGUUAGCGGACCGUGUAUGGUGGGUAGUUUAACUGGGGCGGUUGCCUCCUAAAGAGUAGCGG
rnacentral:rRNA from 1 species